AAAAUGCCUAAAGCAAAACAAAAAUAAUGUUUAAAAAAGUAGCCCAGCCACAUGCAUAUCUUGUUUAGAUAUAACAUGUACUUGAGGAAAUGCUUCUGUGGUUAAAACAUGAGAACCCUGCUGCAGGUCUUCCUCCUGUGAGAGAUGAGGGAGGGACACAGUCCCAGAAGGGGGCAGUGGCUGACUCAAGGGACCACAGAGUUAGAACAGAGCCUGGACUGAGCCCAGGCGCCCUGACAGCCAGGCCAGCAAGAGCCCUGACAUGUUGUCUAACCCCCGCCCCGUGAUGACUUCCUGGCACCCCUGAACAAGAGCUGAGCUUCUGCUCACACACCUCCCUGGAGAGGAAACCUCUGGGCUGCUGUGCAGCCAUUCUGUGACAAGGAUUCCAACACCUCGCUUGGUGAGCUGAAGUCUGCUCAGGGGCACAUUUGGAUGGAGACCCACAAGAAGAGCUGGGUCCCAGGUUGGCAGGGAGAGAACCGCCAAGCCAGCUCCUGGUAGAGAGAGGCUCAACGGAAAGUGAGAUCUUGAUGAAAGAAGAGCCCAUGGACCAAGAAUGCACUUCCUGAAGCUGGAAGAGGAAAGAAACAGAUUCCCUGGGAAAUUGAUGUUGGAUUUCCGGCCUCCAGAACUGUGAGGGAAUAAAUUUCCACCCUUUUAAGCCAUCAAGUUGGUGAGAAUUUGUUGCAAUGGCCAUAGAAAACUAAUACAGUGCCUCGUCUGGAGGUUUGCAUUUGGAAAUCAUGUCCCCAGGGGUAGCUGCCUCAGAAAAAGCCGCCCCCUCUGACAGGAGUAAGUACAGGAAGGCACCCCCUCAGGACUGUCACUCAUGUGGCU